UAUUGCACUGCACAGGCCAGCGUCGUCCAAGUCCAACAGGGAAGAAUCACACUAGCGAGCGUCCAAAUCCUAUUCCCUCGACUGUUCGUUUUCUUUUCGUUCUCGACUUCUCAAUCGAAUCCCCAAUCACGCACAGGCCGCUCGGGACGGAAGCCAACAAGAACACCUCAUCCGAUCGCCUAAAACAAAUUCCCUUUCCUAAUCCUUUUCCAUUUUCUCGCGGCUCAGGCACGGCCGCGCAGCACUAUCGUGGAGGCGGAGGGCCGGCACUGAAGGAGAGUUGGAGACAGGGAGCAGGGAUCGGAGAUAUCAAUCAGCAGGUUACAUACUUACAGCUACAACAUUCACUCAUGUUGACUAAGAAGCAUCUCUCUGGUUAUCAGAAAACAAACCACAAGAAAGAAAAUUCUAUGUAUUGAAGGUUUGUUCGCAUGUUAUUUCUCUUUUUCUAUGUGUUGUACUAGCUUCUAUGAUACUUGGUUUGGAACAGAAGAAAAAAAAAAUCAUGGUACUGAAAAAAUAUCGGUGUUUAUACAAUUGAUUUCAUGGUAUCAAUAGAAUUCGCCAUGGGGCCUUCAAAAUCUUAGAGCCGGCCCUGGGCACCACACGAAGAAUCCUGAAGCUAACUCAAUCUCAAAACAAAAUGCGUUGCAGCGAGGCCCAAAAAACAGCGUGGCUGGUUCUGGUUGGAUCAACCACGACUCGUUGACCAAGGGUCCAUCACUGAACCAAGGCAGGAAGGCAGGGUGUCCAACAAGAAGUCAAGAACGACACCCAGCUGGUAGGCCCCGCGAUAGAGACAUGCAAAGCGCUCACAGCUCGUCUAAACACUGGGAGCUUAGUGCUCUUCUAAGAUGUACAGUACUAUUUUUUAGUAAUGCCACAUAGAAUAAUUGUUAGGGUC